UACGUAGGCAGCGAGCGUUGUUCGGAAUUACUGGGCGUAAAGAGUGUGUAGGCGGUGCUCUAAGUUCGGUGUGAAAUCUCCCGCUUAACUGGGAGGGUGCGCCGGAAACUGGAGUGCUCGAGCGUGGGAGAGGAAAGCGGAAUUCCUGGUGUAGCGGUGAAAUGACGUAGAUAUCAGGAGGAACACCUGCGGUGUAGACGGCUUUCUGGACCAUUGCUGACGCUGAGACACGAAAGCGUGGGUAGCAAACAGG
rnacentral:rRNA from 1 species